rnacentral:tRNA from 1 species
CCUAGAGCAUAAUAUAAUAAGUAUAU